GCAGUUUUACUCCUGGUAAAUAGAAAAACAAGGGAAUCAACUUAUGUAACCUUCAAACCGCAGGAGCAAAGCGCAGGGGAACACAGUGGUCAGACUACAUUAGGAAGUGGUUAGCAAAGCCUUGGACAUCCACACAGUACAAAGUAUUGAAUGCCUGCUCUACUAUCUCCCACUCGACCUCCCAGUUUCACUGGAUCAUUAAAGUCAACAGCCUUCAGAUGUUACUGCCCUGGAAGUGGAUUUUGCCCAUCUUAAUACAAAAGUAACGCUCCAGACAUGGUGGAAGAAGAAAACUGUACAGUAUUUGACCUGUGCUCUAAAGUCAUGCAUCUGCAGCCAUAAGACUAGAAGAUCUGAUUAUUGCCAGCCAUCUAACAAAAGAAGAAUAUGCCUGAAUACCCAAAUCUGUAUUUAGGCACAUCAAUUAAAUAGCCUGAUUUUCAGAGGAACUGAGAUUUUCGGAAGAGCUCAGAGCACUCAGCUCCUCUGCAAAUCAGGCCACUUAAUUCUGUGCCUAAAUAUGGAUUUGUUAUUCAAAUUAAAAAUACUGGCCACAGCACUCUGAAAGCAGUCACUCCCAUAAUCACUUUAUAAUAAAUUACUCUCAGUAUUAGUCACACUUUGGUUAAUACACAUAGCAUUUCUUUUAUAUGGUGUUAAAAAUUUAUAACUUUCUAUAUUAAACAUCUGCAGAACCAUAGUAUGACAACUAUUCCUUUAGAAAAAUGAUCAAUAGUUCUCUUAUAAUUCUGAAGCACCUUCAUCCUGCCAAAACAAUAGAUUAACUUACCAG